rnacentral:rRNA from 1 species
UACAGAGGUCUCAAGCGUUGUUCGGAUUCAUUGGGCGUAAAGGGUGCGUAGGCGGUGGGGCAAGUCAGGUGUGAAAUCCCGGAGCUCAACUCCGGAACUGCACUUGAUACUGCUUUACUAGAGUACUGGAGAGGAGACUGGAAUUUACGGUGUAGCAGUGAAAUGCGUAGAUAUCGUAAGGAAGACCAGUGGCGAAGGCGAGUCUCUGGACAGUUACUGACGCUGAGGCACGAAAGCCAGGGGAGCAAACAGG